rfam:Glycine max cultivar Williams 82 chromosome 13, whole genome shotgun sequence.
AAGGCUUCAGCUUUCUUUGAGAUUUUUGCUUGUACUUUUUCCAAUGUGUUUGGUGGUGCUUAAUUGAAGCCAAUAAUGUGUGUUCGCCUUGCUAUCCAGUGUUGCAAUUUUGAUGCAGCAUUUGGACAUUGAGGAACUAAAUUA